GGGAAUAUUGCACAAUGGGGGAAACCCUGAUGCAGCAACGCCGCGUGAGUGAAGAAGGUUUUCGGAUCGUAAAGCUCUGUUGUAAGAGAAGAACGUGUGUGAGAGUGGAAAGUUCACACAGUGACGGUAACUUACCAGAAAGGGACGGCUAACUACGUGCCAG
rnacentral:rRNA from 1 species